GGGGUUGCUAUGAUUAUAAAACAUUCCUCGUUCUGAGAAGCUAUUGCCAUGGCAUUGCGGACUCUUUUACACCCAUAGAAUAUGAGCUCC